GCUUUUCUACUGUUAUGCCCAGAAUUCGUGAUCCCCAAAGACCACCAGGGAGCCGAGUCCGAUGCAAAAGCAAAAGAGCCUUUAUUCGAGCUAGCUCGAGCUCAGUCCCCUACCUGCACUGACGCAGUGGUGAGAUACCGGAGAGAGAGCGAGUUUCAAAAGCACAAAGGUUUUAUUGGGGUCUAGGGGCAGUUGGUGAGGUAAUGGCUGUGGCCUCAGCCGAUUGGCUGGGGAAGGGUCGUGGCCUCGGCCGAUUGGCUGGGGAAGGGUCGGAGUCCUGUUACGCAGGUCGCCGGGCGUGUUUUGAUCGGGAAGUUUGAACGGGUGAGCGGGAGGUUACUCAAGGGGAGGAGGUGUGGUCUGAGGUUUCUGCGAUUUUCCCUGAAAGGGGUCAUGUCGGGGACAUAGUCACUCAAGGUGGAGGACACAGAACAAGAUGGAGUCGGCCGGCGUAGGUCCGCCCUUUCACUACCAAAGAAUGACAUGAUAUUAUACAUGGAAAACCCGACAGACUCCACCAAAAGUCUGCUAGAACUGAUACAUGAAUUCAGCAAAGUCGCAGGAUACAAAAUCAAUGUAGAGAAAUCAGCUGCAUUCUUAUACACUAAUAAUGAGGCAACAGAAAGACAAAUAAAGAAACUGAUCUCAUUCACAAUUGCACCAAGAAUCAUAAAAUACCUAGGAAUAAACCUAACCAGAGAUGUAAAAGAUCUGUAUGCUGAAAACUAUAGAAAGCUUAUGAAGGAAAUUAAAGAAGAUACAAAGAAA